GGAUGUAAGGGUCGCUGGCUGCACCAUCUGUCACCCCUUUGAUCACCAGGGCUGGUUCAGCUGACCUGGCUGGCCAGGUGUCCCCUUCCUCCCUCCAUGCUCCAUGUGCGUCCCUCCUGAAGCUGCGUGCUCAGUUGAAGGGGACGACCACCCCCGACAGAGGAGGACCAUUUCUCGGUCAAGGGUAAGGAGCAGUUACGCUCCCCUGCUAGAACCUCCAGCAAGCUCUCAGAAGUCCCCUUCUGUUCCCUCAGAUCAGGAUGCCCCGAGGUCUCUCAUGGCACAUGUUUUUCCUGGCUGCAGCAGCUUGAACAAA
rnacentral:sRNA from 1 species